AAAAAAAAAAAAAAAAAAAAAAAAUUCAGGCCGUUACUGGAGAGUCUUGGGGAAAUUUUUUUUUAAAAUGUCUGAAAAUUUUUCCACUUAAUCCAUUGAUGAAUUUCAAAGCAAUUGUAUUUUUUCAUACAAGCCUGCCACUGUGAGCCUGUUCUUAUUGUAUCUGAGCUCUUUGUGCUGCCUGAAUUUUGUCUCUUAAUUUCUUUUCAGCUUCAUAGUGUUUCAUUCUUCAAUUGUGUUGGAGGGAAAAAUAAUGGUAGAAACUAAAACACACUUUGACCUUUUUUUUCCAAUUUGUAGAUGGCAUUUGGUAGGCUUUUGGAGUAAUAGCCUAUUUCAAAAAAUAAAAGGUGAUGCAAAUUAUUGUGGAAGUGAGAGGCAAGAAAUUUGUAUUUGGAGGUUGACAUUAGAGUAAGUUUAACCCUUCACACUCAAAAACUCCCAUCCUCUGAAGGCAGGAGUUCUCAACCUUGGCUGUCUGUUAGGAUUGCUUGGGGAGCUUUCUGCAAUUCUGAUGCCUGGGUUGCUUCUCAGACCAAAAAUCAGAAUCUCAGGUAGUGGAACCAAGGCAUCAGCUUUAAAAAAAACUCCUUUGGUAGUUCCAGUGGGCAGCUAAGAACACUACAGUGACUUUUAGGUAUUUGCAGACAAUAUUUAAUUUUUUUCUUAAUAUCUCUGUGGUUGGAAAGGAUCUUUGUAGCAGGAAUUUUUUUAUUAGAAAUAGACCAAGGCACAGAGAGGUUGAAUUUCUGCCUUGUGUGCCCGGUUCCAGCACAGUGCGGUUGUGUCGUUGGUCUUUUUUAGUAUUUCCUAUUUCCAAUUUUCUAAGAAAAGACAGAAUUAAAAAAAAAAUCUCCUAGUUUUUUAUUGGCAACCAAUUCAGAAUUGUUUAAAACAUUGUGCUGGCCAAAACAAAAAACAUGUUUGCCAGCCAGUAGUUUUUAGCCUCUGCUUCCAGAGUGUUAAGGACAGGCCUAAACAUCCUGGCCAAGCUUUAAUGGAUUUGCAUUUUUGUACUCUGGAUGUAAGUUUUAUUCUGCCUCUCCUCUAAGACUACUUUUAGAUGUAUCUUCCUCCUCAUUCCUAAAUAAUCCUCAGGGAUUACUUUUCCUCACUCAGUAAUUUUCCCCCUGCAGGCAGCUAUUGCUUCCAGCUUCACAUAUAUGGCUUAGAAAUUUUAUGGUCUUUUUUUUUUUUUUUUUCAUUUACUUUUUUUUGAGAUAGGGUCUCACUAUGUUUAUCAGGCUGGUCUUGAACUUCUGGCCUCAAAUGAUCCUCCUGCCUCUGCCUCUGCCUCCCAAAGUGCUGGGAUUACAGGCUUGAGCCACUGUGUCUGUCCUCUUUUUGGAAUUAAUUAGGGCUUGUUAAUUUUUUUAAAUUAUAUGUUUUGUGAUAAAACAUUUAGAAGUCCAUGUUUUUUAUUCUGUACUGUGUAGCUUAAGAAAUGUCAAAACCAGGAGUACAGGCUUAUUGGGCACACUAGAAACAAGAGUGGGAAAGGGUUAAUUCACAGACCUGGCCAGUCUCCUCCUGUCUUCAAGGCGAUGAUUUACCCUGUGAUUCUCAGACUUCACAUGUACCAGAAAUCUUUGGGGCAACGUGCUAACGUGCAGGUUCUCAGUCCCUUUCCCCAGCGAUUCUGAUUCGUGGAAUUUCAGUUGAUCAUUCAGGACACAGUAUAAAGUUCUUAUGCAGAGAGAAGCUGACUUGAACUAUCCCUAUAUGACUGAGGUGCUUUUACCAGGAAGGGGCUUUUAUAGUUUCAGUCAUAUAUGGAUGAAAAAGGUGCUGUAUUCUUUUUCUAUGAACUACUUUGUGUAUUUUAUAAGCAGUAUAUAUGUACUGAUACUUGUUUAUCAGACAUUGUGCGGUGCAUGGUGUAGAAAACUCAAGGUUAUUCUUUUAACUUGCACAUCUUUUUUACUUUAUUUCAAUCAUUUACAUCAAACUAUUUCUUAAUUUAGUAUACAUUUCUCUGCUUUUGCAAACACAGUCUACUGGGGAUAAUUAAAUCUUUUCAGAGUCGUCAUAUAUGUUUUUAAUUCUUUCAGGCCCUACUUAGUUUUGUUAAAGUCCCUACACUGAAGGCUCCAGAUACAUUUGCUCUUUGAGUUCUACCAUGGUUUUUAGAGUUUUUCUUUUCCCUCACUUUUAUCUGUCAUUUAUCUCUCCCAUUACUGUGCCUACCUCUAGGAAGCUUUCUCUAAUUUGCCCUGGGGUUGGGAAAUUGUGUAACUGCAUACUAUAUGUUGAAUAAGAGUAGAGAGGAUUUGAAUGAGGUUUUGAGAGGCUGUUCUAGCAAUAAAAAUGAAUGUACUUUGCUACAUUGACUUGGUGACAUUAUUUCAGUGGCUCAACUCUCUUCCCCUAACUUACUUCUUUAUCCUCAUCUGCAGUUGUCAUAUUUGUGAACUCGCGGCAAGUGAGAUAUUGCUAGAAAUAAUUUCUCUUGAUCAAUAAACCAUUGUCUCCCCCAGCUGUGUUAGUGUUUUUGUGUAUUCAGUUCUAUAAUGUGAAACUUAAGAGGAUUAAAACUCAAAAAAUGAUCAGGCCAAAUUUUUAUGUGGGAUGAAGUGUUUCUGAUUCAGUGUUAUUGUGAUAUAGAGCUAUAAAUUAGUUGUUUACCUAUGAAAUUCCUUCCUGCAGUCAUUCUGAAAUAAAGUUGUUACAGC
rnacentral:lncRNA from 10 species